AUACAGAGACUUAUUUCGCUU
rnacentral:misc_RNA from 1 species